ACGGGUGAGUGACGCGUGGGAAUCUACCCAUCUCUACGGAAUAACGCAUGGAAACGUGUGCUAAUACCGUAUACGUCCUUCGGGAGAAAGAUUUAUCGGAGAUGGAUGAGCCCGCGUUGGAUUAGCUAGUUGGUGGGGUAAAGGCCUACCAAGGCGACGAUCCAUAGCUGGUCUGAGAGGAUGAUCAGCCACACUGGGACUGAGACACGGCCCAGACUCCUACGGGAGGCAGCAGUGGGGAAUAUUGGACAAUGGGCGCAAGCCUGAUCCAGCCAUGCCGCGUGAGUGAUGAAGGCCCUAGGGUUGUAAAGCUCUUUCACCGGUGAAGAUAAUGACGGUAACCGGAGAAGAAGCCCCGGCUAACUUCGUGCCAGCAGCCGCGGUAAUACGAAGGGGGCUAGCGUUGUUCGGAUUUACUGGGCGUAAAGCGCACGUAGGCGGACUAUUAAGUCAGGGGUGAAAUCCCGGGGCUCAACCCCGGAACUGCCUUUGAUACUGGUAGUCUUGAGUUCGAGAGAGGUGAGUGGAAUUCCGAGUGUAGAGGUGAAAUUCGUAGA
rnacentral:rRNA from 1 species